UAGACAAACUAAAAGUACCAAGACCUUGAGUAAGAAAGGUGAGAAAAUACACAUUAUUUUUUCCGACAUCUCAUAAUUCUGCAUCCUCAAUCACCAACAUGCAAGUUGAUAGUGGACAGUCACAUUAACUCAGAGACCAUUGAGAUUAAAUUGUGCGAGGGAUAAAAUUUUUUUUUAUUGUUACCAAGCAGUCACAUCCGAACAAAGCCCUUUGCUUACAUAAACAGACAAAUCACAAGUAUCGCUUAAAACUUACAACCACGAAUACAUCAUGGCACGCUCUAUUGAACUGAACUUAGCCUCAUGUCCUUCCACUUAAAGCAAGAAAUGAGUAUAUUGCGCCAGACGCUAUUACAUAGGUUGAACUUUUUUGCAUGCGCUUCGGCCGAGUGCUCUAUACGUUUAUGAUCAGUAAUAACAUAAAAAUGGACAUACAUUGACAAAAAUAAUCAAGAGAGAAUUCACUGUCCAUUGACUUCUGGAUGGAACUCAAGAAUAAGGGUGAAGUAGCUUGAAGACGACAGUUUGGUCAGUGCACCCGGUGGUUGAUGUUACAUCACUUGGUGUAGAGAACAUCCUCCCAUGGGUGGCGGUAGAGAGGCUGUUUCAAUCUCUUCUGGU